rnacentral:tRNA from 1 species
GUAAAUAUAGUUUAACAAAAACUUUAGAUUGUGAGUCUAAUAAUAGAAUAUGAUAUUCUUAUUUACC